GAUGAACGCUGGCGGCGUGCCUAAUACAUGCAAGUCGAGCGAACAGACGAAAAGCUUGCUUUUCUGAUGUUAGCGGCGGACGGGUGAGUAACACGUGGAUAACCUACCUAUAAGACUGGGAUAACUUCGGGAAACCGGAGCUAAUACCGGAUAAUAUUUUGAACCGCAUGGUUCAAAAGUGAAAGACGGUCUUGCUGUCACUUAUAGAUGGAUCCGCGCUGCAUUAGCUAGUUGGUAAGGUAACGGCUUACCAAGGCAACGAUGCAUAGCCGACCUGAGAGGGUGAUCGGCCACACUGGAACUGAGACACGGUCCAGACUCCUACGGGAGGCAGCAGUAGGGAAUCUUCCGCAAUGGGCGAAAGCCUGACGGAGCAACGCCGCGUGAGUGAUGAAGGUCUUCGGAUCGUAAAACUCUGUUAUUAGGGAAGAACAUAUGCGUAAGUAACUGUGCACAUCUUGACGGUACCUAAUCAGAAAGCCACGGCUAACUACGUG
rnacentral:rRNA from 1 species